rnacentral:rRNA from 1 species
GCCCUAGUAACGGCGAGUGAAGCGGCAACAGCUCAAAUUUGAAAUCUGGCUCUUUCAGAGUCCGAGUUGUAAUUUGCAGAGGGCGCUUUGGCGUUGGCAGCGGUCCAAGUUCUUUGGAACAGGACGUCACAGAGGGUGAGAAUCCCGUACGUGGUCGCUAGCCUUCGCCGUGUAAAGCCCCUUCGACGAGUCGAGUUGUUUGGGAAUGCAGCUCUAAAUGGGAGGUAAAUUUCUUCUAAAGCUAAAUACUGGCCAGAGACCGAUAGCGCACAAGUAGAGUGAUCGAAAGAUGAAAAGCACUUUGGAAAGAGAGUCAAAUAGCACGUGAAAUUGUUGAAAGGGAAGCGCUUGCAGCCAGACUUGCCUGUAGUUGCUUAUCCGGACUUUUGUCCGGUGCACUCUUCUGCGGGCAGGCCAGCAUCAGUUUGGGCGGUUAGAUAAAGGUCUCUGUCAUGUACCUCCUUUCGGGGAGGCCUUAUAGGGGAGACGACAUGUAACCAGCCUGGACUGAGGUCCGCGCAUCUGCUAGGAUGCUGGCGUAAUGGCUGUAAGCGGCCCGUCUUGAAACACGGACCAAGGAGUCUAACAUCUAUGCGAGUGUUUGGGUGUCAAGCCCAGACGCGUAAUGAAAGUGAACGGAGGUGGGAACCUUUUAGGUGCACCAUCGACCGAUCCUGAUGUCUUCGGAAGGAUUUGAGUAAGAGCAUGGCUGUUGGGACCCGAAAGAUGGUGAACUAUGCUUGAAUAGGGUGAAGCCAGAGGAAACUCUGGUGGAGGCUCGCAGCGGUUCUGACGUGCAAAUCGAUCGUCAAAUUUGGGCAUAGGGGCG